UACGUAGGGGGCAAGCGUUGUCCGGAAUCAUUGGGCGUAAAGAGCGUGUAGGCGGCUCGGUAAGUCCGCUCUGAAAGCCCGGGGCUCAACCCCGGGAGGCGGGCGGAUACUGUCGGGCUAGAGUCCGGAAGAGGCGAGUGGAAUUCCUGGUGUAGCGGUGAAAUGCGCAGAUAUCAAGGAGGAACACCAAUGGCGAAGGCAGCUCGCUGGGACGGUACUGACGCUGAGACGCGAAAGCGUGGGGAGCAAACAGG
rnacentral:rRNA from 1 species